rnacentral:pre_miRNA from 1 species
UGCUUGGAGACGGCUUCAAUUCCGAAGUGCAUUGCAGUGUUAAAACAUGAUAGAAAAAACUGCAAGCACGGCGGGAGUGAUGCUGUUUCUAAAGAAAAAUCG